CCUACGGGGGGCAGCAGUGGGGAAUAUUGGACAAUGGGGGCAACCCUGAUCCAGCCAUGCCGCGUGUGUGAAGAAGGCCCUCGGGUUGUAAAGCACUUUCAGUGAGGAAGAACACCUGGUGGUUAAUACCCAUCAGGAAAGACAUCACUCACAGAAGAAGCACCGGCUAACUCCGUGCCAGCAGCCGCGGUAAUACGGAGGGUGCGAGCGUUAAUCGGAAUUACUGGGCGUAAAGCGCGCGUAGGUGGCUUGAUAAGCCGGUUGUGAAAGCCCCGGGCUCAACCUGGGAACGGCAUCCGGAACUGUCAAGCUAGAGUGCAGGAGAGGAAGGUAGAAUUCCCGGUGUAGCGGUGAAAUGCGUAGAGAUCGGGAGGAAUACCAGUGGCGAAGGCGGCCUUCUGGACUGACACUGACACUGAGGUGCGAAAGCGUGGGUAGCAAACAGGAUUAGAUACCCGAGUAGUC
rnacentral:rRNA from 1 species